rnacentral:rRNA from 1 species
CCUACGGGAGGCAGCAGUGGGGAAUAUUGCACAAUGGGGGAAACCCUGAUGCAGCAACGCCGCGUGAGUGAAGAAGUAUUUCGGUAUGUAAAGCUCUAUCAGCAGGGAAGAAAGUGACGGUACCUGACUAAGAAGCCCCGGCUAACUACGUGCCAGCAGCCGCGGUAAUACGUAGGGGGCAAGCGUUAUCCGGAUUUACUGGGUGUAAAGGGAGCGUAGACGGCACAGCAAGUCUGAAGUGAAAUCCCCGGGCUCAACCCGGGAACUGCUUUGGAAACUGCUGGGCUGGAGUGCUGGAGAGGCAAGCGGAAUUCCUAGUGUAGCGGUGAAAUGCGUAGAUAUUAGGAGGAACACCAGUGGCGAAGGCGGCUUGCUGGACAGUAACUGACGUUGAGGCUCGAAAGCGUGGGGAGCAAACAGGAUU